GAUGAACGCUGGCGGCGUGCUUAACACAUGCAAGUCGAACGAUGAAGCCCCGCUUGCUGGGUGGAUUAGUGGCGAACGGGUGAGUAACACGUGAGUAACCUGCCCUUAACUCUGGGAUAAGCCUGGGAAACUGGGUCUAAUACCGGAUAGGAGCGCCUACCGCAUGGUGGGUGUUGGAAAGAUUUAUCGGUUUUGGAUGGACUCGCGGCCUAUCAGCUUGUUGGUGAGGUAAUUGCUCACCAAGGCGACGACGGGUAGCCGGCCUGAGAGGGUGACCGGCCACACUGGGACUGAGACACGGCCCAGACUCCUACGGGAGGCAGCAGUGGGGAAUAUUGCACAAUGGGCGAAAGCCUGAUGCAGCGACGCCGCGUGAGGGAUGACGGCCUUCGGGUUGUAAACCUCUUUCAGUAGGGAAGAAGCGAAAGUGAAGGUACCUGCAGAAGAAGCACCGGCUAACUAAGUG
rnacentral:rRNA from 1 species